AAGCACUCGAACGUUUGUAUAAACGUAAACGUUUCGAAACGAACGUUUACAAAUAGUCUUUAUACAGUUAUUUCAGUGUUCGUGAGAAAAGGCAUGCAGACUAGGCUCUACAUAGUUUUCUCAACUACAACUUAUUAAACAAGCCUUGCAUUAUCUCCUCCUUGUCUGUUUGUAAAACUUGUUUUAACUGAAUGCAUAGAAGCUAAGAAUAAAUUCGAAUCUUUUCUAAAAAUAAGUGUAUAAUUUUUAGAUUAAAGAGUUUUAAAUAUUGGAAGAAUAAUUUUCAAUGGAAUAGUUUAGAAAAUGAAUUAACACCAGAACUACCAAAUCAGUCUUUCUUAUUUUAAUUUAUAAAUUUGAUCGAAACCCUUUCGCUGCCACGCGAAUUUUUGAACUUGCACCAGUGGUCUACAAAUUUCAUAUUAAAAAUUUUAUAAUGGCAAGAACUGCAAAAUAUAUUAAAAUAACGGUACAAUCUUGCCAAUAGCACAUUUUUCUUAUAGUUAGUGGUGAUCACCAUGGCCCAAAUGAAAAGACAAGCGCCCGUCCCAUUGGACCACCGUGGCAGCGAAAGAGUUAAUUAUGUUUCAUUCUUUAUCUAUUUAAUUUUCUACAUGCCGACUUUUCCCCUACUCCUCGUUAAUUUAUAGAAAAAAAAACCUAGAUCUCACAAUCAGAGGAUUACAAUCAAUCUUUGGCAAGCACGAAAACGAACCUUUCGCAUGUCGCGUGAAAAUUAAUUUUACUUUCGUGAUUCGUAAGGACAAUAGGUGGGAUGGAUGACAGACCGAAUCGAGCCCAGUAUUUAGCAUUAACACGCCAACCGUAUUAUCGAUCAUUUUGUGGUGAAAUUAUCACAAGGCCAAGUGUCCAUGUUUUGUUGAAUGAAAGAAAUGAAACGAUAUCGACUUUUCGUACUGUCGGAACGCGUAUACCGGGUGUCUCGACGAUUUAUCCCGUAUAACUCGGAAAAUUGAUUUUAAUCCCGCGAAAAUAGAAAAACGUUUACGCCAAGACGUUCGAGUUAGGUUACCGUGAUCGAUGCAUUAUGCAACAAGUAGUUAAGCGGAACGUACAGCCUAUUCCCGUGAAAGCUCCAUAAAUAUAGAGGCGACAAAGAGCGUAGGUGGGCCGCGCUAUCAUCGCCGAUCAUGUUUAACGUGACGCGUAAGGUACUAAACCGUGUGACCGUAUCAACUAUACUGCCAUAAGCAUGGUGCCAGCUUGUCAGCAUUUCACAGCGUCCGAAGAUAAAUCCAAGUAAAACUCCAAGAAAACUCCACGGCAUGCACUUACACACGAAACGUAACCACUGGCACACACCCGUUCCGCACCCGGGUAGUGGUUGAGAGAAAAAUGAACAGUUUGGCACUCAGCUCGAUGAGAACAUAUGGGCAUCUGUGGACGAUUAAAUUGAUUUACCGGUAACGGCUCAACGAUUCUCGAGUUUCCUUUCAAUCCUUCACUCUUUCUUUCUUUUUUUAAAACGCUUCAAGGAUCUGCACGAAUCGGUAGCUCGUAAGCUAUACUUUGAAGAAACGCAAGCCGCGUGUGCGACACUAUUGAGAUCUACGUCGUCUGUCAUAGGCGCUGCCUAGAAUUCUAAAGACUAGACGUAAAGCACGUAGAAGUAAAGUACAUGUGACGAAAUCGGUUAUUUAUUAUUAACCCCUCGGGCUAUGGGCGCGAAACGGCGUCCCUCUGCAAGUGUCAUGGUGCGGUGCGCUCAGAUUAAUGUUUCCUUCUGUUGCCAGAUGUCGCCAUCUACCAACGCAAGCGCUAUCUAUAAAAAAAAAGCAAAAAUAUUUUUGUAACCAAUAUGUAUCGAGCCUUAUUAGUGCAUCGGUAUUACUGAUGAGUCGGCACAAGUAUUUUUUAAAUUGAAAUACUGAACCUGCCAACGUGAUACCGAUGCUAAAGAUUGAUAUUAAUUCCAAAAAUUACCAUGUUUAUAUCAAAAGAAUAAAAAAUAAUCCAUCACAAAUGUGUUGUAUUGAUAAAAAAUGUUAGUUUAUGAAUAAAAUUUUAUAUGGACAAAUAA